rnacentral:misc_RNA from 1 species
AGCGAUUCCAGUGUUCCUGUUUUGUCUUCUUCGCAUGUGUACAGACCCGUGGCUAGAGCAGGCCCUGUUUUUCAUCCGGUAGAAACGACGUCGUCUUCUAAUAACAACGANNNNGCCCACCUUGCUCAGCCUAUCGCUUCCCGGUGCUGAUUCCUGUGAGGUCUCCAACCGAGCGGCUGAGUCAACCACAGUUCGAGUGGCGGAUUCUACUCCAGCAAUAAAUACAAUCUCUUUGAUGCCGCCGGUGAAUCAAGUUCCUUCUCCGCUACCGGCACAGGCAGCCGAAGCUGCUGUAGUGGGGAUGCAGCAGGGGGCAGCNAGGGAGCAGCGAAUGUUGGAGCAGAGUCUGGAUUUGUUGGGUUCACUGCAGAGUUUAUGGCAGUAAUGCAAGAGAUGAUAAGAAGGGAGGUAAGGAAUUACAUGAUGGAGCAGAGUGGGGGCGGGUCGGGCAGUGGUGGAGGUGUUGGUAUGUGUUUUCAGGCAGUUGGUGGAGAAGGGUUUAGAAAUGUGGUGAUGAACCGAGUUGGGAUUAGUAAGAUUGAGUAGUGAGUAGCGAGUCAAAUGAGUCUGUGAAAUUGAACAGAGCAGAGAGUGGGGAGGAGAGAAAACUGAGCUUUCGUUUUUUCUCUUAUGUUUAGGGAAUAAUUUUGGGCAUUGUACAGAGGAAGAAAGAGAUGGGUAAAUGUGAAAAAGAAAAAAAAAAUUAAUCAAGGAACGAAGAAUGUUGUUUUAGCAGAAGAAAAGAAACGAAGAAAAAUGGAACCUUUUACCCAUUUCUGGCC